rnacentral:misc_RNA from 1 species
GAUGAAGAACGUAGCGAAAUGCGAUAAGUAAUGCGAAUUGCAGAAUUCCAGUGAGUCAUCGAAUCUUUGAACGCACAUUGCGCCCUUUGGCAUUCCGAAGGGCAUGCCUGUUCGAGCGUCAUUUGUACCCUCAAGCUUUGCUUGGUGUUGGGUGUUUGUCCCGCGUUGCGCGUGGACUCGCCUUAAAGCGAUUGGCAGCCGGCAUAUUGGCCUUGGAGCGCAGCACAUUUUGCGCUUCUAGUCAUGAAUGUUGGCGUCCAUUAAGCCUAUACAUUUGCUCUUGACCUCGGAUCAGGUAGGGAUACCCGCUGAACUUAAGCAUAUCAAUAAGCGGAGGA